rnacentral:rRNA from 1 species
CAGAGAUGCUUUGGUGCCUUCGGGAACUCUGAGACAGGUGCUGUAUGGCUGUCGUCAGCUCGUGUUGUGAAAUGUUGGGUUAAGUCCCGCAACGAGCGCAACCCUUAUCCUUUGUUGCCAGCGAUUCGGUCGGGAACUCAAAGGAGACUGCCAGUGAUAAACUGGAGGAAGGUGGGGAUGACGUCAAGUCAUCAUGGCCCUUACGAGUAGGGCUACACACGUGCUACAAUGGCGCAUACAAAGAGAAGCGACCUCGCGAGAGCAAGCGGACCUCAUAAAGUGCGUCGUAGUCCGGAUUGGAGUCUGCAACUCGACUCCAUGAAGUCGGAAUCGCUAGUAAUCGUAGAUCAGAAUGCUACGGUGAAUACGUUCCCGGGCCUUGUACACACCGCCCGUCACACCAUGGGAGUGGGUUGCAAAAGAAGUAGGUAGCUUAACUUUCGGGAGGGCGCUUACCACUUUGUGAUUCAUGACUGGGGUGAAGUCGUAACAAGGUAAGCGUAGUGCU